rnacentral:rRNA from 1 species
UACGGAGGAUCCGAGCGUUAUCCGGAUUUAUUGGGUUUAAAGGGUGCGCAGGCGGGAGAUUAAGUCGGCGGUGAAAUUUUGCAGCUCAACUGUAAAAGUGCCUUCGAAACUGGUUUCCUUGAGUGUGGAUGAAGUAGGCGGAAUUUGUGGUGUAGCGGUGAAAUGCAUAGAUAUCACGAGGAACUCCGAUUGCGCAGGCAGCUUACUAAACCACUACUGACGCUCAGGCACGAAGGCGUGGGGAUCAAACAGGAUUAGAUACCCGGGUAGU